rnacentral:rRNA from 1 species
UACAUAGGUGGCGAGCGUUAUUCGGAAUUAUUGGGCGUAAAGGGCGCGUAGGCGGCUUGACAAGUCCCGGGUGAAAUCCCUCGGCUCAACCGAGGAACUGCCUUGGAAACUGUCUGGCUUGAGGCCGGGAGAGGGUAGUGGAAUUCCCAGUGUAGCGGUGAAAUGCGUAGAUACUGGGAGGAACACCGGUGGCGAAGGCGGCUACCUGGACCGGUUCUGACGCUGAGGCGCGAAAGCGUGGGUAGCAAACAGG